CCCAGGUGCAGGACCUAGCACUUGGCCUUGUUGAACUUCAUACAGUUGACCUCAGCCCAUCAGUCCAGCCUAUCCAGAUCCUCCUGCAGAGCCUUCCUUCCCUCGAGCAGAUCGACACACGCACCUAACUUGGUGUCAUCUGCAAACUUACUGAGGGUGCACUCGAUCCCCUCAUCCAGGUCGUCGAUGAAGACAUUAAAGAGGACUGGCCCCAGCACUGAGCCCUGGGGGACUCCACUAGUAACCGGCCUCCAACUGGAUUUGGCUCCGUUCACCACUACUCUUUGGGCCCGGCCAUCCAGCCACUUUUUAACCCAACAAAGCGUACGCCAGUCCAAGCCACGAGCAGCCAGUUUCUUGAGGAGGAUGCUGUGGGAAACGGUGUCAAAAGCCUUACUGAAGUCAAGGUAGAUCACAUCCACAGCCUUCCCCUCAUCCACCAAGCGCGUCACUUGGUCACAGAAGGAGAUCAGGUUCAGAUUUUUCUUCCUAUGCCAAAAGAAAGGUUUAAGCCAAUGCCAGCUGAAAAAGAUCAGUUACUUGCUUGGUCAUAUUGUCCUCUCCAUAUUCAAAGCUGAAGCAAAAGCCUGGGGAUUGUUGCUUCUAGAAAUACCCCAGUUCUCUUGUCUGCACUCUGCAUGGUGUUGAGCUGAAAACCAGAUUGGAAAAAAAAAAAAAAGGAAAACCACAGCUGCUGCUUGUCCUGCUCUGUCUACUUUGUUGUUCUUGCCCAUCCCCUUUCCCAGGUGAUUGGGUUUGGGUGCUGGGCGGGGCCAAAUGGUAUAUGAGCCCCAGGCAAGGCAUGAGGGAGCUCCUUCUGCCUGGGCUGCUCUUAGGGGUGCCUAAUGCGGUCUUGUACAGGGAAAUCCCCGUGUCACGGAGCAGUGAGGGAAGCAGCUGGGAGAGCAAGAGGAGUGAGGAACAGCCUUGCAGGCGCCAAGGUCAGUGAAGAAGGAGGGGGAGAGGUACUCCAGGUGCUGGAGCAGAAGUCCCCGGCGGCCUGUGGCAAGGACCAUGGUGAAGCAGGCUGUCCCCCUGCAGCCCAUGGUGGGGUACGGUUCCUUAUUUGGGGGUUCUAUUUUAAUCUCUAGAUAUAUCAAGGCAUUUGCGUAGCUGUCCAGAGGAUUCACAAAGAGCCUCAGCAUGCAUGGCAAGGGCCUUGACUGCAUAAGGGCAGUAUGAGGAAGAGGCUGAGCAGGGUCACCUUUUUCAUCUGGAGAGGAUAAGUCUGUGAUUGCCCCUGCUGGGGCUGCUGUGCAUUCAUGGCCUUUUGGCCUUUGUGGACCUGAGGGUGUUUCUUUUCUGGCUCUAGUCUCUGUGCUUGAGACCUCUGCAAGGAGCUGUACUGUUUGCGUGUCCAUCACGGGCCUGACCUUCUCUCUCUUUCUUGUAGGCCUUGUCAUGGGCAUGGACUAAGCUGGAAACUUGAAAGAGGCACGAGGGUGAGUAGAUGGCAGUGUGGGCCCUGAGUUGGUGGGUGGAUUGUUAGUCUGUUUGGCCUGUUGGGCAGGCUUUGCAAGCACUUGUGACAGCAUUGUGCAUCUCCUGCCAUGUUCCUGAGGGGUGUCAGUGGGUCCAGUUCCUGAAAUGCUGACCCAUCAGCAUAGCCUUUUGGUUUUCAGAUAGCCUGCUCAAGUGUGUGAUUUUUCCUGUGAGUGAUGUUAUUUCAUGGAAUUGGCUUUUCUUUUUUGGCGUGUAAUCUGUGGUGCUCCUAGAUUUUUCUUCCUAUGUAAAGGAAAGUUUUAAUGCCAGCUGAAGAUGAUCAGUUACUUGCUUGGUCAUAUUGUCCUCUCAAUUUUCAAAGCUGAAGCAGAAGCCUGGGGAUUGUUGCUUCUAGAAACACCCCAGUUCUCUUGUCUGCACUCUGUAUGGUGUUGAGGUGAAAACGAGAUAAAAGAACCACAGCUGCUGCUUGUCCUGCUCUCUACUUUGUUGUUUCUUGCCCCUCCCCUUCCCCAGUGUCCUGGUUCCAGUUAGGACAGAGUUAAUUUUCCCUCAUAGUAGCUGGUAGGGUGCUAUGUUUUGGA
ensembl:lncRNA